rnacentral:rRNA from 1 species
GUGAGGAAUAUUGGUCAAUGGGCGGGAGCCUGAACCAGCCAAGUCGCGUGAAGGAAGAAGGAUCUAUGGUUCGUAAACUUCUUUUGCAGGGGAAUAAAGUGCAGGACGUGUCCUGUUUUGUAUGUACCCUGAGAAUAAGGAUCGGCUAACUCCGUGCCAGCAGCCGCGGUAAUACGGAGGAUCCGAGCGUUAUCCGGAUUUAUUGGGUUUAAAGGGUGCGUAGGUGGUUUGAUAAGUCAGCGGUGAAAGUUUGCAGCUUAACUGUAAAAAUGCCGUUGAAACUGUCGGACUUGAGUGUAAAUGAGGUAGGCGGAAUGCGUGGUGUAGCGGUGAAAUGCAUAGAUAUCACGCAGAACUCCGAUUGCAAAGGCAGCUUACUAAGCUACAACUGACACUGAAGCACGAAAGCGUGGGGAUCAAACAGGAUUAGAAACCCGAGUAGUCC